AAAGACUUAGUCCUAACCUUACUGUUAAUUCUUGCUAAAUAUAUACAUGCAAGUAUCCGCGUCCCAGUGUAAAUGCCCUUGAUUUCUUGUUAAGAAAAAAGGAGCGGGUAUCAGGCACGCCCAAAGUGUAGCCCAAGACGCCUUGCUCAGCCACACCCCCACGGGUACUCAGCAGUAAUUAACAUUAAGCAAUAAGUGAAAACUUGACUUAGUUACAGCAACUUCAGGGUUGGUAAAUCUUGUGCCAGCCACCGCGGUCACACAAGAGACCCAAAUUAACAGUAUGCGGCGUAAAGAGUGGUACUAUGAUAUCACAACAACUAAGACCAAAGCACAACUAAGCUGUCAUAAGCUCAAGAUGUGUCUAAGACUCCCUUCAAAAUGAUCUUAGCGCUUCUGAUUAAUUUAAGCCCACGAAAGCUAAGACACAAACUGGGAUUAGAUACCCCACUAUGCUUAGCCCUAAAUCUUGAUGUCUUCCCACUACUAAAGCAUCCGCCCGAGAACUACGAGCACAAACGCUUAAAACUCUAAGGACUUGGCGGUGCCCCAAACCCACCUAGAGGAGCCUGUUCUAUAAUCGAUAACCCACGUUACACCCGACCGCUCCUUGCCUAGAGGCAGCCUACAUACCGCCGUCGCCAGCUCACCUCCCUGAGAGAUCAAUAGUGAGCACAAUAGCCCAAACCCGCUAACAAGACAGGUCGAGGUAUAGCCUACGAAGCGGAAGAAAUGGGCUACAUUUUCUAAAAUAGAAAAUCUACGGAAGGGGGCGUGAAACCACCCCCCGAAGGCGGAUUUAGUAGUAAAGCGGGACCAUAUAAGCCCCCUUUAAAUCGGCCCUGGGGCACGUACAUACCGCCCGUCACCCUCCUCACAAGCUAUAAAUCUAUAAUCCCUAAUACAACCGCCAGCCGAAGAUGAGGUAAGUCGUAACAAGGUAAGUGUACCGGAAGGUGCACUUAGCAUAU
rnacentral:rRNA from 1 species